CCUACGGGUGGCAGCAGUAAGGAAUAUUGGACAAUGGUCGCAAGACUGAUCCAGCCAUGCCGCGUGCAGGAUGACGGCCCUAUGGGUUGUAAACUGCUUUUGUACGAGAAAAAACCUCUUUACGUGUAAAGAGCUGAUUGUAUCGUAAGAAUAAGGAUCGGCUAACUCCGUGCCAGCAGCCGCGGUAAUACGGAGGAUCCAAGCGUUAUCCGGAUUCAUUGGGUUUAAAGGGUGCGUAGGCGGAACGAUAAGUCAGUGGUGAAAUCCUGUAGCUUAACUACAGAACUGCCAUUGAUACUGUCGAUCUUGAGUAUAUUUGAUGUGGGCGGAAUGUGUCAUGUAGCGGUGAAAUGCUUAGAUAUGACACAGAACACCGAUUGCGAAGGCAGCUCACAAAACUAUAACUGACGCUGAGGCACGAAAGCGUGGGGAUCAAACAGGAUUAGAUACCCUAGUAGUC
rnacentral:rRNA from 1 species